GACGAACGCUGGCGGCGUGCCUAAUACGUGCAAGUUGAGCGCUGAAGGUUGGUACUUGUACCGACUGGAUGAGCAGCGAACGGGUGAGUAACGCGUGGGGAAUCUGCCUUUGAGCGGGGGACAACAUUUGGAAACGAAUGCUAAUACCGCAUAAAAACUUUAAACACAAGUUUUAAGUUUGAAAGAUGCAAUUGCAUCACUCAAAGAUGAUCCCGCGUUGUAUUAGCUAGUUGGUGAGGUAAAGGCUCACCAAGGCGAUGAUACAUAGCCGACCUGAGAGGGUGAUCGGCCACAUUGGGACUGAGACACGGCCCAAACUCCUACGGGAGGCAGCAGUAGGGAAUCUUCGGCAAUGGACGAAAGUCUGACCGAGCAACGCCGCGUGAGUGAAGAAGGGUUUCGGAUCGUAAAACUCUGUUGGUAGAGAAGAACGUUGGUGAGAGUGGAAAGCUCAUCAAGUGACGGUAACUACCCAGAAAGGGACGGCUAACUACGUG
rnacentral:rRNA from 1 species